rnacentral:lncRNA from 1 species
CGGCGAAAGCAAACCAUGCGAUUAUCUGAGGACAGCGCCCAGCACACAAAUGCAUAACAAAUCAUUUUCAACCAGGGAGUUGCGACACGAAAGUCAGAAAUAGUAAUAUAAUAUAUGCCUUACCUUUGAAGAUCUUCUUCUGUUGGCACUCCAAAAGGUCCAAGUUACAUUACAAAUGGUCUUUUUGUUCAAUAAAGUCCUUCUUUAUAUCCAUAAAAACUCAGUUUAGCUGGUGAGCUUCAGUCAAUAAUCCACUCGGUUUCCCUCCUUCAAAAUGCAUACAAAAUGAAUCCCAAACGUUACCAAUAAACUUAUCCAAACAAGUCAAUCAAGGUUUAUAAUCAAUCCUUAGGUACCCUAAUAUGCAAAUAAACAAUACAAUUUAAGACGGAGAAUCGUUAUUGUCUUUACCGGAGAUAAACAAAAAGAAUGCGCUCUCUCGGCCAUGCGUUUGGAAACACUACAGCCAAAAUGGGAGCCACUUAGAAAAACUACAACUUCUCCCUCAUUUUUCCAAAAAACAGCCUGAAACUCUUUCUCAAGACUGUUGACAUCUAGUGGAAGCCCUAGGAACUGCAAUCGGGGACGAUUUCGCCCUAUUAUUAAAGUGCCAAUAUUUUUUUGUUGUUGAUUGUUUAUACUCAGGGUUUCGCCUGCCAUUUCAGUUCUGUUAUACUCACAGACAUUAUUUUAACAAUUUUAGAAACUUGAGAAUGUUUCUAUCCAAAUCUACCAAUUAUAUGCAUAUCCUAGCUUCUGGGCCUGAGUAGCAGGCAGUUUACUUUGGGCACGCUUUUCACCCAGACGUCAAAAUAUCGCUUAAGUGCAGACCUCAGGACCUCGGUUAAGACAGAAUGCGGCCUGCUGGGCAACAUGAGUUUAACACCCUUGAACUAGAUGUACAACAAAGCAGGAAAGCUCAAGGAACGGACAUGGUAUGUUAGGAAAGGUCAUGGUAUGUUAGGAACGGUCAUGAUAUGUUAGGAACGGUCAUGGUAUGUUAGGAACGGUCAUGGUAUGUUAGGAACGUCAAGAUAUGUUAGGAACGGACAUGGUAUGUUAGGAACGGUCAUGGUAUGUUAGGAACGGUCAUGGUAUGUUAGGAACGUCAAGAUAUGUUAGAACGGUCGUGGUAUGUUAGGAACGGUCAUGGUAUGUUAGGAACGGUCAUGGUAUGUUAGGAACGGUCAUGGUAUGUUAGGAACGGUCAUGGUAUGUUAGGAACGGUCAUGGUAUGUUAGGAACGGUCAUGGUAUGUUAGGAACGGGCAUGAUAUGUUAGGAACGGUCAUGAAAUGUUAGGAACGGUCAUGAUAUGUUAGGAACGGACAUGGUAUGUUAGGAACGGUCAUGAAAUGUUAGGAACGGUCAUGGUAUGUUAGGAACGGUCAUGGUAUGUUAGGAACGGUCAUGGUAUGUUAGGAACGGUCAUGGUAUGUUAGGAACGGACAUGGUAUGUUAGGAACGGUCAUGGUAUGUUAGGAACGGACAUGGUAUGUUAGGAACGGACAUGGUAUGUUAGGAACGGUCAUGGUAUGUUAGGAACGGUCAUGGUAUGUUAGGAACGGUCAUGGUAUGUUAGGAACGGACAUGAUAUGUUAGGAACGGACAUGGUAUGUUAGGAACGGACAUGGUAUGUUAGGAACGGUCAUGGUAUGUUAGGAACGGUCAUGGUAUGUUAGAACGGUCAUGGUAUGUUAGGAACGGUCAUGGUAUGUUAGGAACGGUCAUGGUAUGUUAGGAACGGUCAUGGUAUGUUAGGAACGGUCAUGGUAUGUUAGGAACGGUCAUGGUAUGUUAGGAACGGUCAUGGUAUGUUAGGAACGGACAUGGUAUGUUAGGAACGGUCAUGGUAUGUUAGGAACGGUCAUGGUAUGAUAGGUCAUGGUAUGAUAGG